AUGGGAGGGUACCUGCUGCGGCACACUCUAUCCUCCUGGAGGGUCUGCCAUAACUAUGAGUGGUCUCCAUGUCUGACCCCUUCCCCACACAGAUGUCUGGACAAUGUGGUCAAUGAGCAGAGUACUUCCCCACCAGUGCCACAUCUCCAUGCCUUGCUGGCCAGUGGAGACGAGCCUCCCACACAGACAGACAUCUUUGACCUCCUCAAAGCCUCCUAUGAGAAAUUCAGCAGCCUGUGGGCCAGCGACACUGAGCAGAUGCGGUUUAAACAGGCUGAAAGUGAUCCAGUCCUUGGAGGACACAGCCAAGAGGAGCGUGGUCUGAGCCAUACCUGGGGACACUGGCUUCUCCACUGAAGAGCUGGAAGACCUUUACAUGGUGUUUAAGGUGAGAGCCGAGAACAGGGACGGGACCUGUGGGAUGUACCACGGGCACAUGACUGAAAAGCUCAAGGUGCUCUACAAGCUGCACCUUCCCCCAGAGGCACUACCACAGGAAGAUCGGGAAGGAAGCAGAAGCGAGGAUACCCAAGAAAAGCGAGCAGAGGAGAAGGGGACCAGCCCCCCAGACUACCGACACUACCUUCGCAUGUGGGCCAAGGAGAGAGAGGCUCAGAAUGAGACCAUCAAGGAUCUGCCCCAAAUGAACCAGGAGCAAUUCAUUGAGCUGUGCAAGACUCUAUACAACAUGUUCAGUGAGGACCCCCUGAGGCAGGACAUGUACCACGCCAUUGCCACAGUGGCCAGCCUCCUCCGCAUCGGCGAGGUGGGGAAGUUCUUCAGUCCCAGUGUCAAGAAGCCCACGGGUGGCACUCCCAGCAGGGACCAGGGCAGUUCCACCGAGGAUGAGUCCCCACUACCAGCAAGGGAAACCCCUCAGGCCCCAGUACAGGAAUGCCAGCCGACAGCCACGGGGGACCCCUGGACCAAAGCUGGUGGAGACACCCACCUUGGAAAAGUGCCACAGGAGAGACAGAUGGUGGUAGAGGGGGGCAGUGGAGAGGGGCAGGGCUCACCCUCCCAGCUCCUGUCUGACGAUGAAACCAAAUACAACAUAUCCAUGUCCUCCUACUCAGUGGUCAGCAUGGGCUCCCUGCAGUGUGAGAACCCCACAGCCACUGCCCGCAUUGGGAACACCAUGGAGCAGACUGGUGCAUCUCCUUCAAGCAGAUCCUGGCCUCCAUCCUGCCGGAGUCUGUGCUGGUCAACUUCUUUGAGAAAAGGGUGGACAUUGGACUCAAGAUGAAGGACCAGAAGAAAGUAGAGAGGCAGUUGAGUGCCUCCAGUGAGCACGAGCCAUCUGUUGCUCUGGGCUGAGCCCCUUGGCUGAGUGAUUCUGGCCGAGGCCUCUGUCCCUCCCUCCUUCCCUUUGCAGUUUCUCAUUAAAGACACAGCCCUCCUGCUCCCCCUUGGAAGCAGUGAGUUGUAAGUGAAAGGAAGGCUGAUGCCAACACAGCUGCCUUAGAAAGAGUCUCUGGGUCUGCAUCCCCUAGCACAGGCCAGUCCUGGGAACCAAGAAUAAGUGGCAGCUCCUCCAUUCCUCUCUGCCUGUGGCCUAGGA